UACGAAGGGGGCUAGCGUUGUUCGGAAUUACUGGGCGUAAAGCGCGCGCAGGCGGUUUCUCAAGUCAGUGGUGAAAGCCCGGAGCUCAACUCCGGAACUGCCAUUGAAACUGUGAAACUUGAGGACGAGAGAGGUGAGUGGAAUUCCCAGUGUAGAGGUGAAAUUCGUAGAUAUUGGGAAGAACACCUGAGGCGAAGGCGGGUUGCUGGGCCGACACUGACGCUGAGGCGCGAAAGCCAGGGGAGCAAACGGG
rnacentral:rRNA from 1 species